rnacentral:lncRNA from 1 species
CCAAGUGGACACCAACUGGACCACCCAGAUGACGCCGUUCGACUACGUCAUCGUCUCCGCCGGCCACUGGUUCUUCCGCCCCACCAUGUUCUUCGAGGCCGACCAGCUCGUCGGCUGCCACUACUGCCUCCACCCCAACGUCACCGACCUGACCAUGUACUACAGCUACCGGAGGGCCUUCAGGGCCGCGCUCCGGGCCUUCAACGACCUCCCGGGCUUCAGGGGCACGGUGUUCCUCCGGACCUUCGCGCCGUCGCACUUCGAGAACGGCGAGUGGAACAAGGGGGGCAACUGCGUGCGGCAGCGGCCGUUCCGGAGCAACGAGACAAGGAUGGACGGCUACAACCUGGAGAUG